rnacentral:rRNA from 1 species
AUUGAACGCUGGCGGCAUGCUUUACACAUGCAAGUCGAACGGUAACAGGUUAAGCUGACGAGUGGCGAACGGGUGAGUAAUGCAUCGGAACGUGCCCGAUCGUGGGGGAUAACGCAGCGAAAGCUGCGCUAAUACCGCAUACGAUCUGAGGAUGAAAGCGGGGGACCGUAAGGCCUCGCGCGAUCGGAGCGGCCGAUGUCAGAUUAGGUAGUUGGUGGGGAAAAGGCUCACCAAGCCAACGAUCUGUAGCUGGUCUGAGAGGACGACCAGCCACACUGGGACGGAGACACGGCCCAGACUCCUACGGGAGUCAGCAGUGGGGAAUUUUGGACAAUGGGCGAAAGCCUGAUCCAGCAAUGCCGCGUGCAGGAAGAAGGCCUUCGGGUUGUAAACUGCUUUUGUACGGAGCGAAAAGGCCCUCUCUAAUACAGUGGGCUCAUGACGGUACCGUAAGAAUAAGCACCGGCUAACUACGUGCCAGCCGCCGCCGUAA